AUGAAGCUGGAAUUGCUAGUAAUGGCAGGUCAGCAUACUGCCGUGAAUACGUUCCCGGGCCUUCGUGCACACCGCCCGUCCACACCAUGAGAGUUGGGAAUACCCGAAGCCUGUGAGCUAACUUAUAGAGGCAGCAGUCGAAGGUAGAAUCAAUGAUUGGGGUGAAGUCGUAACAAGGUAUC
rnacentral:rRNA from 1 species